rnacentral:rRNA from 1 species
CCAGCGGGUGCUUGCACCUGCGAAGAUCUAGUGGCGAACGGGUGAGUAGCACGUGAGCAACCUACCCCGAAGACUGGGAUAACACCGGGAAACCGGUGCUAAUACCGGAUACCCCCAUCGGAUCGCAUGGUCUGAUGAGGAAAUGGAUUCCGCUUCGGGAGGGGCUCGCGGCCUAUCAGCUUGUUGGUGGGGUAAUGGCCUACCAAGGCUUCGACGGGUAGCUGGUCUGAGAGGACGAUCAGCCACACUGGGACUGAGACACGGCCCAGACUCCCACGGGAGGCAGCAGUGGGGAAUCUUGCGCAAUGGGCGAAAGCCUGACGCAGCAACGCCGCGUGAGGGACGAAGGUUUUCUGAAUUGUAAACCUCUUUCAGCAGGGAAGAUAAUGACGGUACCUGCAGAAGAAGCACCGGCUAACUACGUGCCAGCAGCCGCGGUGAUACGUAGGGUGCAAGCGUUGUCCGGAUUUAUUGGGCGUAAAGAGCUCGUAGGCGGUUUGAUAAGUCGGAUGUGAAAUCCCCAGGCUCAACCUGGGGCCUGCAUUCGAUACUGUCAUGACUAGAGUUUGGUAGGGGACCACGGAACUCCUGGUGUAGCGGUGGAAUGCGCAGAUAUCA